rfam:Brachypodium distachyon strain Bd21 chromosome 4, whole genome shotgun sequence.
UUUCUACUCCUUCCAUCCAACAAAGGAUGUCUCAAUUUUUACCAAAUUCGAAAGCAUCUAUAUAGUAAGUUAUGUCUAAAUACAUUCAAAUUUUGACAAACUUGAGACAUCUUUUGUUGGACGGAGGAAGUAUAUC